CACCACUCAAGCUAUGCUUGGUAUUGGGACUCGCGGUAACCCGCGUUCCCCAAAUCGAUUGGCGGUCACGUCGAGCUUCCAUAGCGUAGUAAUCAUACACCUCGUUACUGGUAAUCGUCGCGGCCACGCCGUAAAACCCCAACUUCUGAA
rnacentral:misc_RNA from 1 species